CUGCGGCGGAUUAGCUAGUUGGUGGGGUAACGGCCUACCAAGGCGAUGAUCCGUAGGGGGCGUGAGAGCGUGGCCCCCCACACUGGCACUGAGAUACGGGCCAGACUCCUACGGGAGGCAGCAGUGAGGAAUAUUGCACAAUGGGCGCAAGCCUGAUGCAGCAACGCCGCGUGCGGGACGAAGGCCUUCGGGUCGUAAACCGCUUUUCUGGGGAAAGAGCAAGGACGGUACCUCAGGAAUAAGUCUCGGCUAACUACGUGCCAGCAGCCGCGGUAAAACGUAGGAGGCGAGCGUUAUCCGGAUUUACUGGGCGUAAAGCGCACGCAGGCGGCUCCGUGAGUCGGACGUGAAAGCUCUCGGCUUAACCGGGAGAGGCCGUUCGAUACUGCGGGGCUUGAGGUAGGGAGAGGAAUGCGGAAUUCCCGGUGUAGUGGUGGAAUGCGUAGAUAUCGGGAGGAACACCUGUGGCGAAAGCGGCAUUCUGGCCCUCACCUGACGCUGAGGUGCGAAAGCGUGGGUAGCAAACAGGAUUAGAUACCCUGGUAGUCCACGCUGUAAACGAUGUCAACUGGGUGUCGGUAGUUUUACACUAUCGGUGCCGAAGCUAACGCG
rnacentral:rRNA from 1 species